rnacentral:rRNA from 1 species
AUUGAACGCUGGCGGCAGGCCUAACACAUGCAAGUCGAACGGAUCCUUCGGGAUUAGUGGCGGACGGGUGAGUAACGCGUGGGAACAUACCCUCUGGUACGGAAUAGCCUCGGGAAACUGGGAGUAAUACCGUACGUGGUCGAGAGACGAAAGAUUUAUCGCCAAAGGAUUGGCCCGCGUUGGAUUAGGUAGUUGGUGGGGUAAUGGCCUACCAAGCCGACCAUCCAUAGCUGGUUUGAGAGGAUGAUCAGCCACACUGGGACUGAGACACGGCCCAGACUCCUACGGGAGGCAGCAGUGGGGAAUCUUAGACAAUGGGGGAAACCCUGAUCUAGCCAUGCCGCGUGAUCGAUGAAGGCCUUAGGGUUGUAAAGAUCUUUCAGGUGGGAAGAUAAUGACUGUACCACCAGAAGAAGCCCCGGCUAACUCCGUGCCAGCAGCCGCCGUAA